rnacentral:misc_RNA from 1 species
GCAAACUUGGUCAUUUAGAGGAAGUAAAAGUCGUAACAAGGUCUCCGUAGGUGAACCUGCGGAGGGAUCAUUACCGAGUUCAUGCCCUUACGGGUAGAUCUCCCACCCUAUGUUAUAAUUACCAUUGUUGCUUUGGCAGGCCGUCAGGCUUCGGUCAGGCUACCGGCUCCGGCUGGUAAGCGCCUGCCAGAGGACCCUAAACUCUGAAUAUUAGUGUUGUCUGAGUACUAUAAAAUAGUUAAAACUUUCAACAACGGAUCUCUUGGUUCUGGCAUCGAUGAAGAACGCAGC